AGUGAACGCUGGCGGUAGGCCUAACACAUGCAAGUCGAACGGCAGCACAGUAAGAGCUUGCUCUUACGGGUGGCGAGUGGCGGACGGGUGAGGAAUACAUCGGAAUCUACUUUUUCGUGGGGGAUAACGUAGGGAAACUUACGCUAAUACCGCAUACGACCUACGGGUGAAAGCAGGGGAUCUUCGGACCUUGCGCGAUUGAAUGAGCCGAUGUCGGAUUAGCUAGUUGGCGGGGUAAAGGCCCACCAAGGCGACGAUCCGUAGCUGGUCUGAGAGGAUGGUAAGCCACACUGGAGGGGGGACGGAGACCAGGCGCCUGAGAGAGGGAGCAGAGUGGAAUGGGAGGCAACGGGGGCAAGUAUGAUACAGUGGUAGGAAGUGGGAGAAAGAAGCGUUGGGGGUGUAAAGCCGUUUUUUGGGGAGAAAAAAGCAGCAGGCUGAGACGCCGCGGGAGUGACGGUAAUGAGAAAAGAAGCACCGGCUAACUACGUG
rnacentral:rRNA from 1 species